ACGCACGCUGGCGGCGUGCUUCACCCCUGCAAGUCGAACGGAAAGGCCCUGCUUGCAGGGUACUCGAGUGGCGAACGGGUGAGUAACACGUGGGUGAUCUGCCCUGCACUUCGGGAUAAGCCUGGGAAACUGGGUCUAAUACCGGAUAGGAGCCAUUUUUAGUGUGAUGGUUGGAAAGUUUUUUCGGUGUAGGAUGAGCUCGCGGCCUAUCAGCUUGUUGGUGGGGUAAUGGCCUACCAAGGCGGCGACGGGUAGCCGGCCUGAGAGGGUGGACGGCCACAUGGGGACUGAGAUACGGCCCGGACGCCUACGGGAGGCAGCAGUGGGGAAUAGUGGACAAUGGGCGCAAGCCUGAUGAAGCGACGCCGCGUGGGGGAUGACGGCCUUCGGGUUGUAAACUCCUUUCGCUAGGGACGAAGCUUUUUGUGAGGGUACCGAGAUAAGAGGAACCGGCUAACUACGG
rnacentral:rRNA from 1 species